rnacentral:rRNA from 1 species
UACGAAGGGGGCUAGCGUUGUUCGGAAUUACUGGGCGUAAAGCGCGCGUAGGCGGUUUUGUAAGUCGGGUGUGAAAUCCCCAAGCUUAGCUUGGGAACUGCAUUCGAGACUGCAUAGCUAGAGUAUGGGAGAGGGAAGUGGAAUUUCAGGUGUAGCGGUGAAAUGCGUAGAUAUCUGAAGGAACAUCAGUGGCGAAAGCGACUUCCUGGACCAAUACUGACGCUCAUGUGCGAAAGCGUGGGGAGCGAACAGG